ACACGUGGUAUCCUGUCUGAAUAUGGGGGGACCAUCCUCCAAGGCUAAAUACUCCUGACUGACCGAUAGUGAACCAGUACCGUGAGGGAAAGGCGAAAAGAACCCCGGCGAGGGGAGUGAAAAAGAACCUGAAACCGUGUACGUACAAGCAGUGGGAGCCCCACCACUAAGCCAGUGGUGAACUCCACAUCCGCAUCCUUUGCUGAGGAUACGGUUAACGGAGCGAAAGCGACGUUCAACCGCAAAACAAGCAGAGGGGGCUUAGUGGUGGGGUGACUGCGUACCUUUUGUAUAAUGGGUCAGCGACUUAUAUUCUGUAGCAAGGUUAACCGAAUAGGGGAGCCGGAGGGAAACCGAGUCUUAAUUGGGCGUUAAGUUGCAGGGUAUAGACCCGAAACCCGGUGAUCUAGCCAUGGGCAGGUUGAAGGUUGGGUAACACUAACUGGAGGACCGAACCGACUAAUGUUGAAAAAUUAGCGGAUGACCUGUGGCUGGGGGUGAAAGGCCAAUCAAACCGGGAGAUAGCUGGUUCUCCCCGAAAGCUAUUUAGGUAGCGCCUCGUGAAUUCAUCUCCGGGGGUAGAGCACUGUUUCGGCUAGGGGGCCAUCCCGGCUUACCAACCCGAUGCAAACUGCGAAUACCGGAGAAUGUUAUCACGGGAGACACACGGCGGGUGCUAACGUCCGUCGUGAAGAGGGAAACAACCCAGACCGCCAGCUAAGGUCCCAAAGUCAUGGUUAAGUGGGAAACGAUGUGGGAAGGCCCAGACAGCCAGGAUGUUGGCUUAGAAGCAGCCAUCAUUUAAAGAAAGCGUAAUAGCUCACUGGUCGAGUCGGCCUGCGCGGAAGAUGUAACGGGGCUAAACCAUGCACCGAAGCUGCGGCAGCGAACGUAUCACCCAAGACAACUUUACGGAGUUGACGAUUGACGGAGCGAAGCGACGUCAAAGCGUUCAUUAAAGUCGAGUUGGCUUAGGGAUACGUUCGUUGGGUAGGGGAGCGUUCUGUAAGCCUGUGAAGGUGUGUCGUGAGGCAUGCUGGAGGUAUCAGAAGUGCGAAUGCUGACAUAAGUAACGAUAAAGCGGGUGAAAAGCCCGCUCGCCGGAAGACCAAGGGUUCCUGUCCAACGUUAAUCGGGGCAGGGUGAGUCGACCCCUAAGGCGAGGCCGAAAGGCGUAGUCGAUGGGAAACGGGUUAAUAUUCCCGUACUUGGUGUUACUGCGAAGGGGGGACGGAGAAGGCUAUGUUGGCCGGGCGACGGUUGUCCCGGUUUAAGCGUGUAGGUGUGUGUUCCAGGUAAAUCCGGUUCACUUUAACACUGAGGCGUGACGACGAGGCACUACGGUGCUGAAGCAACAAAUGCCCUGCUUCCAGGAAAAGCCUCUAAGCAUCAGGUAACAUCAAAUCGUACCCCAAACCGACACAGGUGGUCAGGUAGAGAAUACCAAGGCGCUUGAGAGAACUCGGGUGAAGGAACUAGGCAAAAUGGUGCCGUAACUUCGGGAGAAGGCACGCUGACACGUAGGUGAAGUGAUUUACUCAUGGAGCUGAAGUCAGUCGAAGAUACCAGCUGGCUGCAACUGUUUAUUAAAAACACAGCACUGUGCAAACACGAAAGUGGACGUAUACGGUGUGACGCCUGCCCGGUGCCGGAAGGUUAAUUGAUGGGGUCAGCGCAAGCGAAGCUCCUGAUCGAAGCCCCGGUAAACGGCGGCCGUAACUAUAACGGUCCUAAGGUAGCGAAAUUCCUUGUCGGGUAAGUUCCGACCUGCACGAAUGGCGUAAUGAUGGCCAGGCUGUCUCCACCCGAGACUCAGUGAAAUUGAACUCGCUGUGAAGAUGCAGUGUACCCGCGGCAAGACGGAAAGACCCCGUGAACCUUUACUAUAGCUUGACACUGAACAUUGAGCCUUGAUGUGUAGGAUAGGUGGGAGGCUUUGAAGUGUGGACGCCAGUCUGCAUGGAGCCGACCUUGAAAUACCACCCUUUAAUGUUUGAUGUUCUAACGUGGACCCGUAAUCCGGGUUGCGGACAGUGUCUGGUGGGUAGUUUGACUGGGGCGGUCUCCUCCUAAAGAGUAACGGAGGAGCACGAAGGUUGGCUAAUCCUGGUCGGACAUCAGGAGGUUAGUGCAAUGGCAUAAGCCAGCUUGACUGCGAGCGUGACGGCGCGAGCAGGUGCGAAAGCAGGUCAUAGUGAUCCGGUGGUUCUGAAUGGAAGGGCCAUCGCUCAACGGAUAAAAGGUACUCCGGGGAUAACAGGCUGAUACCGCCCAAGAGUUCAUAUCGACGGCGGUGUUUGGCACCUCGAUGUCGGCUCAUCACAUCCUGGGGCUGAAGUAGGUCCCAAGGGUAUGGCUGUUCGCCAUUUAAAGUGGUACGCGAGCUGGGUUUAGAACGUCGUGAGACAGUUCGGUCCCUAUCUGCCGUGGGCGCUGGAGAACUGAGGGGGGCUGCUCCUAGUACGAGAGGACCGGAGUGGACGCAUCACUGGUGUUCGGGUUGUCAUGCCAAUGGCACUGCCCGGUAGCUAAAUGCGGAAGAGAUAAGUGCUGAAAGCAUCUAAGCACGAAACUUGCCCCGAGAUGAGUUCUCCCUGAGACUUAGAGUCUCCUGAAGGAACGUUGAAGACGACGACGUUGAUAGGCCGGGUGUGUAAGCGCAGCGAUGCGUUGAGCUAACCGGUACUA
rnacentral:rRNA from 1 species